UGUGGGAGCGGGCUUGCUCGCGAUUCAGCCGCUGCGGUUCUUCAGGAUCGUCGCGGCGAUGCCAUCGCGAGCAAGCCCGCUCCCACA
rnacentral:antisense_RNA from 1 species